UACGUAGGGGGCUAGCGUUGUCCGGAAUCAUUGGGCGUAAAGCGCGCGUAGGCGGCUCGGAAAGUCGGUCGUGAAAUGCCGGGGCUCAACCCCGGGACUGCGUCCGAUACUCUCGAGCUGGAGGCAGGUAGGGGAGAUCGGAAUUCCUGGUGUAGCGGUGAAAUGCGCAGAUAUCAGGAGGAACACCGGUGGCGAAGGCGGGUCUCUGGGCCGAAAUUGACGCUGAGGAGCGAAAGCGUGGGGAGCAAACAGG
rnacentral:rRNA from 1 species